AGAGUUACUGCAGGAGACUACAGAGAGAGAGGGUAGAAGAGGCAGAAGACGGCACAAAGAAUUAGAAAGUGAACACAGACUUUUAAAGAGAGGAAAACUGCUGUGACGACAGACAGACUGACAACCCAGUGAACUACAGAUACAGAAACGUCAAAGGACAAAAGACAAUAUUUUUGUCCAACUGGAAAACUGGAGCAAGUUAAUAAUUAGGUGAAGAGCCAGAACAGCGGAGAUGAGACCACACGAACGAGAGGAGUAAGAAGACGGGCAGGGUGAAAGAGAGAGAGAAAAGACAAUCGAUCCCAGAGCUUUGGGAAACCAUUAAGCUGUUUGUGUUUUUAUUUUGCUUUGACUCUGUUUGUCAGAGUUUUUAAUGAACAUCUGAGAAACUUUGGGAGAAGUAGAUCCAAUCUGUACUGAAGUUGGAGAGACGGACUUGCCAAACUCCGCAUCUAAACUCAUUCACUACAAAGUUUGACCACCAUUACCCUCUGUGUGUGAGACCUGACCAGGCCAAGGGAAAAUCCAAGAUGGAGGUGAGGGAGGAGGUGUUGUACAUCCUGAAUAAGGUGUGGACUAAACUACAGAACCUCCCUCAGGCCAACUCACUGGAGCUGGGGGCGUUCUUCAUCAUCAUCCUGUUCGUCGUGACAUUCUUGUUUAUUAUUGUGCUGUCCUGCGUUCGCUGCUGUUGCUGUGGAAAGCUUAAAUCCCGAGUCCAGCCCUUACAGUCUGUCUGAGGAGGAGACAUUGGCCUAGUUACAAUACAUAGAACAUUUAAGGAAGGGAGGAAACAGCAAUUCCAGGGAAGAACCAAAUGAGAACCAAUGAAGUAUUAGAAUCGCCUGGACAAUGUAGCUUGGAGGGGACAGACAGACUGCUCUGCAACCAGCCUGACAAAUCUGUGUGUGUAUAAAGACUGAUGAGCAAUGGCCGACUCAUUAAGACUACGUAGCAGUAGCUUUAAACAGAACAAUGACACUCUAUAAACAGAGAACUGUGAACAUUGCUUCUGUGCUGUUGUUCUGUCUGAGGACACAAACCACUCUGAGGUUGAAAGACCCACCCAAGUUUUCUCCUGCUUUCUCAUGUGAUUUAACCUGGUAGAGCCGAUAGGUUUUAUGUUGUGUGUUUUGUAGGUCUAUAGAAGGAAACAUUUUUUUUUUAACUCCCUCAGAUUUCAAUCUUGUUGUGUUUAACAAAGUUGUUUUUAAGUCCAGAAUGUAAAACACAUCUCUGUUCUCCUUCACGACGACCCCAUAGAAAAAGUGCUAAAGUUCCAAACGUGUUUUUGUGUGUCUGUUUUCCAGUGGAAAAGAAGGGACAGUCAUAUAGAGUGCCCUCUGCUGGUGCAAUGAGCACAAUACAUUUACGUAACUGGUCAAAUAAAAAAAUAUAUGUUUUAACUGGUAUAAUUGGUGGGUGCUUAUACAGUAUCUAUCCCAUUUCACAUAUGUUCAUUAUAUUGUUUUGUUUUUUGCAUAUCCCAACUGACCAUGAGAGUGGGGUGACCCACUAUCAAUGGCAAUCCUGGAACAAUUAGGGUUAAAUGCCUUGGGCAAAGACAGAUUUUUCACCUUGUCGCCGCUGGGAUUUGAACUAGUGACUACUGGCCCAGUGCUCUAACCUCUAGGCUGCCUGCCACCCCUGCAAACAGUGUUGUACAUUAUUGAUGCAGUAUUGUAGAAAUAGUAGUAAUAUCUGUUGCCUUACAGAUGGCAAAUCGUGAUUAUCAUUAGUUAUACUGGUACUGUACCAUCACCGAUUGAUUGUACAUCAAUCACUUGGAGUGGAACAACCUGUGUUUUGGGAUUAUAUUCAUCUGUAGUUGUCA